GCAUCCGGCCGCGGAAAAGGCACGGCGGCCAUUAUCGGUUUUCGCGUGUGUGCGUGUGUGCGGUGUUACGAUCAUCGAGGUCCUGCACCGCGUAUACCCGCACUUCGAGGAUCGUCUUAACGGAGGAGAGUCACUGCCGAUAGCGAAAAGUCUCCGGUAAUCCGACGGAAAGAUGGGUCGCAAGAAAAAGAAGCAGUCGAGACCCUGGUGUUGGUAUUGCAAUCGUGAAUUUGAAGAUGAAAAGAUUCUCAUUCAACAUCAAAAGGCAAAGCACUUUAAAUGUCAUAUCUGCCACAAGAAACUGUAUACUGGACCAGGGCUUAGCAUACAUUGUAUGCAGGUGCACAAGGAGGCAAUAGACAAGGUACCGAAUUCAUUGCCAAAUCGUAGCAACAUUGAGAUAGAGAUUUAUGGGAUGGAAGGCAUACCGCCGAACGAUGCAAAGGAACACGAGAGGCAACGAAAUGGCGGUAGGCCGGGCUCGCCGUCAUCUGGCGAGGAUGAGCCUGUGCCGAAAAAGGCAAAACCCGAGGGUCUGUUAGGUUCUGCGCCUGGUGCAAUGCCUGGCAUGGGGGCUGGUUUACCCGGAAUGCCACCACAGCCAGGUAUGCCGCCGCUACCUGGUAUGGCGCCACAUCCAGGUAUGGCUCCUCAUCAUGGAAUGCCACCACAUCCCGGUAUGCCUCCUAUGCAUCCUAUGAUGCAGAUGGGCCACGUAGGACCUCCCUUUAUGGGCCCAGGCAUGAUGCCUGGCAUGUCAGGCAUGCCUUCCGGUAUGCAACCACCAGUCUCAGGCGCAUCGAUGCCGCCAGCGCGUCCGCUGUUCCCGAGUGCUGCUGCAGCUGUUUCGACAGUAGCAGCAUCGACAGCGACAUCGGUCACUGGAUCUGCACCUCUUGGCACAGACUUUAAACCGAUCACGUCGGUGGCCAGUGGUGGCGGUUCCAUAGGCCCAGUAAAGCCUACAUUCCCUGCUUACAGCAGCGUUGGCGAAUCUGGUGCAACUGGUAAUAGUCUCGCUAGCAGCGGUGAUCAGAAAGUGAAUCUUAUUGCGACCACUGGGGCCGCCAGUAAGAUCAUUCAUCCUCCAGAAGAUCUUAGUCUAGAGGAAAUAAGGGCAAGACUGCCAAAGUAUCAACGUCGACAAACCGAUGAGUCUGGACGACCGACGCAAUCGGAGGCAACGGUAGGGACAGUGAGCCAGCAGCAGCAGGCCGUUGCCUUGCAACAAGCGGCAGCACAGCAGCAGCAAGCGGUACAGCAACAGCAACAACAGCAACAGGCACAACAACAGCAGCAAGCGGCCGCGAAUGUGGCAGCGGCCGCGUUUCAGGCGGAUCAGCAGCAGCGGCAGCAGCAGGCGGCGGCACUGAAUGCGCUGCAACAACAACAGCAGAGGUUCCAACGGCCGCCGCAGGCGGUCAUGGUACCAGCCUCAGCCGCAGCAAUGCCUGUCAGCUCGGUUGCAUUGAUGGCUCCCCUAAUGCGACCCACUAUGACUCUGGCCGCACCUGCUCUCAUUCAUGGAGGUAACAUGAUGCGACCGCCCCCCAUGGGCCUGCCGCCAGGGCGCCCGGUCACUCCUCGAUGAGUGUCGAACGAACCCAGUCUGGUUACUAAAACCGUGUUUUACAAUACAAGCGCUACAAGGCAUGAUAGGGGCUCUACCACCGGGUGCGGCGAUGCAUCCGGCCUUCGCCGCCGCGCCGAUGGGCUUUCCUGGACCGAUGCUGACGCCGAUGAUGCAUCCGCGCUUCAGAUGAUCGCCCCCCAUGGACGGGCCCAACCCCCCGCCGCUGCACUUCGUGCUAUGGGCCCGCCCCUAAUUUUCGCUGGGGUCUGGACCUGACCGAGCAAGAAACACAUACAUAAAUGAGAGAAAGGGAGAGAGAGAGAAAGAAAGAGAAGAAGCAGGAAAUAAUCUGCAUGUGGUAGAAUUGUUCCCCGUCAAUUCUCUCUCACACAAUCUGUUUUUUCCUUUUUUUUUUUUUAAUCAUAUUGUUGAGAGACGGAGCAACAAAAAACACUGAAAGAAAGAGAAUGAAAGAAAGUGUGUAUGUGUGUGUGAGAGAAAAAAAGAAAAAGAAUGAAAGAAAGAGAGAAAGAGAAACACACUCACUUAACAUCAUUAAUAUCUGAGUGAGUUCCUUUGAAAAAAUCAGGUGCGCGCUGGAAACGGUCGGCUUUUUCGUUUUUUCUCAUCCUUUACGCUGCUCUAUGAAAAAAAGACGCGAGUCACUAAUCGAUUGCGAAUGCGUAUGCGUAUGUAUACGCACUCACGCUAUGUUGAUCGUGUAGAUGAGCUAACAAACUCGAGCAAGUGUCAUCAUCUUUUCUACAGAAUGAAAUCAAAAUAAUCGCUUUGUAACAAUACCGUUUGCGCGGAAAUGCCAUCGCAAAUCAUCUAUCUAUUUGUCUGUCGACUUAACUCACAAUUUUUUAUUAUUCAUCAGACAGCCAUUGUAUCGCACUGCUGUUCAUCGAGAUAGCGUUUUCUCAGUCUCGUCACGAUGACAACGCGAUACGUAAAAGACAACUUCUCUUAUGGGAGUCAAUCAAGGACAGUCCGAGAGUUGGAUGAGUCCCGCAGUUUGCGAGGCCAAUUCAAAUAAAAAUCACGUGUAAAAUAAGCCUUACAAAUUACGAAUUUACUUCUGUAACAAUACUCCAAUCAUGAACGCGGGAUAAUUACAACAUUGCUGAAAUUUUCAAUGAUUAAAUUCUUAUGUACAAUUCUUUGUAAUUCUGAUCUGACUUUUCUCGAAUAUUCGGCGAGUAUAUACAGUUUUCUAAACAUAAUUGUACAAAUAAUGGAUACUAUCUACUUGUUACGAAUUAAUAUUUUAUGAAAUUUUAACAAUUCGGAAUGAAAAAGAUAUUAACAUAUUUAAUAUAAUAAAAUGUUAAAAAAAGAUAUAUUUAUUUGAAAAACGAAAUUUCUUUAGAGGAACAUUAUUACAUAUGACAUAAUUGUGUUAUUUUUGGCUUGAAAUCUCCAACUUUUCCAUUUAAAUACGUGAAUUAAUUCUAUCGUUGAAAAAUUUGAUUAAUCAUAUUUAAUCUCGUAAAAUUGGUGAUUGACUACGCAGCUCUUUGGGAAGUUGUACUUUUAACAACGGCAAAAUGCUACGUAUUAUUCCUUAAAAAAAGCUUUUCCUGUUUCGUGCAUUAGACCGUUUCCAUCACGUGCUGUUUCCCCCUUCAGCUUCCGUGCACCUGCAGUGUUCUCUUGGAAAGGCGCAAUCGCAGAUAAGGUGGCGCUUCACGCUGCAGCUGGAUGAUGAUUCACUUGACUAAGUAGAUCUCGAGAUGAGAGAGCACUCUCGAGACUAGUUCCGUUCCGUAAUGUUCGAAAUUUUUUUUGUUGAUUUACCGAGUAAACUCGAGGUAAGGAUUCCCGGAGGGAUCGAAGAUAUGAAAGUACCGCUCGACUCUUUUCUGAAAUGAAGAAAGGAAAUUAGAUCUGAAUUUUCAUUAUUUAAUGAGGAGUAAAUAUGAGUAAACAUUAAGUAAGGUUUAUUUUAUGUAAUACUUUUGAGAAUUAAAAAA
rnacentral:misc_RNA from 1 species